CCGCGCUCUAGGCGAAGACCGCGGCCCCGUCCCCGCGCCUCCACCGCCUUCUUCCAGGAGGAGGGGCCGUGCGGCGCCUGCCCGGGGGCCCUCAGGCCGCAGGCGGGCGCGAGCUUCAGGGAACUUAGGGGGCUCCCGCCUCCCCGGCCACGCGAGCGGGAACAGUCUCCUCCACUCGGAGCGCCACUCAUCAUGCCUUACCUGGAUGAUGCAGAAGUCCCUGGAAACAGAAGGUCUCACCCUUCUUUAUCUUUCUCAUGGCUUUCCAAGGCUCUUUAUCAUGUUACUUUCCUGCUCAGAAUUCUUUAAUGACUUGCCUCAAUGACCAGAUACAUGUGAUCUACAGUCAGCCUUCCAGCCUCAUCAUUCCUCUUCCAUUUCCUCCCCAGAAACACUGUACUUUAUGAAGCUCCUCCAAGACAGACUGGUUUAACAAGAGUCAUGUGAUCUUUCUGGUCAAUGAAAGAUAAGGGGAAGCCAGCCUGGAGUUGCUUCAGAAAGGCUGCUCUUAAACAGAAACAUAUUUGAAGAAACAGUAACUUUAUUCUGACUCUUUAUGUGUGUGGCGGAGGAAGUGAUGCCUAGAGCUACUACAGGCACUUAGGCCAUGAGGAGAACCAGUGUAAGUCAGCAAGCCAAGAUGCUAAAGACAGCAGAAUAAGAAAAUGGCAAGAAUCUUGUCCUUGAUGCUGUUGAGCUACUGAAUUAACCAGGGCUGCAACUCCCUGUAUUAGUAAGGAUUCUCCAGAGGAACAGAACCAAUAGAAUGUAUAUAUAAGUAUAUAAUAAGGAAUUAGCUCAUGCAGUUACAGAGGCUGACAAAUUCCAAUAUCUGCAGUUGGCAAGCUGGAGACUCAGGAGAACUGACGGUGUAGUCUAACGGCUAGCAGGCCCAAGAACCAGGAAAAGCUGAUUAAAGUUCAAAGGCGGGAAAAAAAAACCCAAUGUCCCAACUUGAAGGCAUUUAGGCAGGAGGAAUUCCCUCUUAUUUAUGAGACUGUCAGCCUUUUUGUUCUAUUUAGGCUAUCAAUUGUUUUGAUGAGGCCCACAACAUUAGAAAGGGCAGUGUGCUUUGCUCAGUCUAUCAAUUUCAACGUUAAACUCAUCCAGUAUAAUGUUUGAUCAACUAUCUGGGUAUGCCAUGGUUCAGUCAACUUGACACAUAAAGUUAACCAAUCGUCAAAACCCCCUACUUUUGGUUUCUUGAUAAAUAAAAUAAUAUUUAUCUUCUGUUUUAGUGGAAUAAAGGUAUGGAAAACGCUUUGAUCAGUUUCUGUCUUUUGUUGAUCUGGAAUUGCAGUAUCAUUGUGAUUAAAGAAACUAAAAUACAGUGUAAUUAGGGGAUCACAUCCAAAUUUUGCAAACCCUUUGGUAAUGUUUAGAAUAUAUUUGAUUAAUUCAUUUUCAAUUCAACAAACACCUGUUAAAUACUAACUAUAUGUCAGCUAGGUACAUGUUAUAUGUCAAUGAAAAAAAAAAGAAAAAAUUCCCCUUGUGGGGCUGACAUCUAGCAUAUAAACAAAUGGUCAAUUUUAAUAUAGUUUUGGGUUUAUUUAAGCUUAUUACAGAAUAAAAAAAUAGUGCCCCAAACUGACCACUCUUGCAUAGCCAUGCCCAGCAGCCAAUACUACAUAAUGUCAACCUACAACACAGCACCAUCAAGUUGUUACUCAAAUGAGACCUAGGCUUGACGGGAUGUUAGGAGGUCCAUUUCUAUCAAUCAGAGUCUGGAGUUCAUCCAUCGCCCUAAGCCUGCUAUUGAGGGAGCCCUAUGUAAACAUUUAUGUGGCCACCAAUAAAUAGUAAGCCCCUCAAUCCCAACCCUAACCUCACUGUGUUUCUAGAUUCUUGCCUCUGUUCUUUGUUUGCACUUUAUUCUUUGCUGGUAACGGAUUCUAGCCCUGAACUCCAGCCAAAUUGUCUGGGCCUACGAAUUGACUAGUCUUGCCAACCUCUUCUCUCUGGGGGAUCUGGAUCCUAUCCCAAUUUUCUCCCCUCUGCAGCCCACUGGCUAAGGCCCUAUUACAACCCAGACAACCUCUCCCAUUCCGAACAUAAAACUGUCAUCUGUUGGAUAAUAACAUUUCCCACAUAACCAGUUCCUGGUGCCAUGCUCCCACCUGGCUUGAGAUGGUGACUGUCACCAUUAAUCUGGUUUGGAUUCAGGUUUGGUAUGUCCUGUUAGAUGCUGAGACUUGGGGGAGCUUAUAGUCAUAUACCUCAGACCUCCCCUAUCCCCACCAGUCUUGGCUUACUUCUCUCUCUCCUACAGAUCUACAGCUGGGGUUCUCUUCUGGCUCUCCUGCCAAGGCCAAUCAGAUCGCAAUACAAAAAAGUAACACUUUCCAGCAUUCUGUAGAGUCUGAUUUUCUAAACAGUUCUUUAGAUUUUAAUGCAUCUCAAUAAUAGUUAUAAGUAACAUUUUAUUUUUUUCUGUGGCAGAUUAGGCCUCCUGCAAAAUAGUCAUUUUCAAAAAUUGUCUAAGAUUCAGAUGCCGCACCCAAUGUUUAUGCUUUUUGCAGCAAUAUGGUCCUAAUUCAACAUCAUGCAGCGUGCAAAUCAGUGUUUCUUCUAACUUCAACAGUGAUAAAUAUUUAUUAAGCCUCCACUAUGUUCAUGGAACUAUACCAGGUGCUGCUAUAACUAUUUUUCCUUUCCAGGAAAAAUAAAUUCAAAUAUGGAAUAAAAAGCCCAAACUCAUGAAACUGGACUGACUUUGCUUCUUAAAAAUUCAACAUGCUGCAGCUGCAUGCUUAAACCUGGUUCAAACAGGAUGAUGAAAUAAAACAUUAUUAUUGUGGGAAUAUAACACUGUCUAAAUAAAUAGCCAACAUGAAAACUGUCUCUAAAACCCAUAGCAUCUGUAUGUGCAGACUGUAAGUAAGUUAUAUAAUUCCUCCACUAUUCUGUAACAUGGCCAAUUCAGAAUGUCUUACCAUUAAUCUUGAAGACAUUUAAAGAUGUUCACUUUUCUAACUCUUCCCUUUGAAAAUAUAUUUGAACCUUAUUUGCAAUAAAAAUCUCAUAAUAUUGUAUUACUUUUUGAUGUGUCAUUUCUGUUAAAUGGUGCCUGGAAUAAAUCAGCUUUGACUUUU
rnacentral:lncRNA from 1 species